rnacentral:rRNA from 1 species
AAAGUCUGGCCUGCCCAAUGAAUUAUAUAUUUAAAUGGCUGCGGUAUAUUGACCGUACAAAGGUAGCAUAAUAAUUAGUUUUUUAAUUGAGAACUGGAAUGAAUGGUUGGAUGAGAAAAAUACUGUCUCAAUUUAAAUUUAAUUAGAAUUUUAUUUUUAAGUUAAAAAGCUUAAAUAAUUUUAAAAGACGAGAAGACCCUAUAGAGUUUUAUAUAUAAUAAAUUAUAAAAUAUAAAGUAUUUAAAAAAUUUAUAUUUUAUUAUGUAUUUGGUUGGGGUGAUUAAAAAAUAUAAAGAACUUUUUUAUUUUAAUAUUCAUUAAUAUAUGUAUAAAUGAUCCA